rnacentral:sRNA from 3 species
CCCAGAGGUAUUGAUGGGUGUGAAACAAGCUGCUUUGGCAGUACCCUGUUAUUACACCGACCCACGCAGAUGCGUGGGUUUUUUUU